CAGAGGGUAGUUUAAGUAGAA
rnacentral:tRNA from 1 species